UACGUAGGGGGCAAGCGUUGUCCGGAUUUAUUGGGCGUAAAGCGCGCGCAGGCGGCUAUCCAAGUCAGUGGUGAAAGCCCGGAGCUCAACUCCGGAACUGCCAUUGAAACUGUUUAGCUUGAGUAUGAGAGAGGUGAGUGGAAUUCCCAGUGUAGAGGUGAAAUUCGUAGAUAUUGGGAAGAACACCGGUGGCGAAGGCGGCUCACUGGCUCAUUACUGACGCUCAGGCGCGACAGCGUGGGGAUCAAACAGG
rnacentral:rRNA from 1 species